rnacentral:rRNA from 1 species
GUGAACGCUUGCAGUAUGCUUAACACAUGCUAGUUUUUAAGUUUUUAAAACUUGGCGUACAGGUGCGGAAUGGUUAAAUUUUACCUUAAAUAAGAAAAUAAUCCAUAUUGAUAUUAAAUCAAUAACGUGAAAAAAUUUUGUAAAGGUUAAACACCAGUUUAAGAGAGAUUUAAUUUGGUAUUAGGUUGUUGGUAUGGUUAAAGCGUACCAAGCUGAUGAUCCCUAACUGGUUAGAGAUAAUGUUCCAGUCACAUUGGAACUGAGACAAGGACCAAGCUUUUGCCAGCAGUGGGGAAUAUUGGACAAUGAGCUAUGCUUGAUCCAGCAAUAUUGCUUAAAUGAGGAAAAUGAAAAAGGUAUGAGAAGUAAUGAAUCGCGUACCGUUUGUAAAGUUUUAGAUUUAAAAAAUGAAAAUGACGUUUUUUAAAAAAAAGCCCCGGCUAAUCUCGU